UUUAUUCUACAGCAAACCAAUGCUAAUCAUGUGACACUUGUUGAGAGUGCAUGUUCAUUCAGCUGUUGGUAAAGGACAAAAAAAAACGAACACAGAGCAUGGAAGGAAGGCUUGAGAGCAGAGACUUUCAUUAUUUCCAUGCAUGGAAACUGAAAUGGUAACGGUCCUUGUGUAAAGAUCUAGACACUUUGUUCCCAAGGUGAUGUGAAAUGGUGCGAAGUGUUGUGUAUGUUUUUUGCCUUCACUCUACUAAACCACUACUGCAUGGAUCUUCAGUAUCUUCAAUUAGUACCGGAACUGUGAUGACACUGAGGAAAUAUUCUACAAUCUUCACCAUGGUUACGGUUGAAUAGGGAUUCCCACAUAGCAAUUGCUGUACAGUGUAAUGCCAGCAUGUAUGUUUUUCUAAGAAAGCAACAGUGUGUCAAGGUGGAAGCUGUGUAUCUG